AGUGAACGCUGGCGGUAGGCCUAACACAUGCAAGUCGAACGGCAGCACAGUAAGAGCUUGCUCUUACGGGUGGCGAGUGGCGGACGGGUGAGGAAUACAUCGGAAUCUACUUUUUCGUGGGGGAUAACGUAGGGAAACUUACGCUAAUACCGCAUACGACCUACGGGUGAAAUCAUGCGAUCUUCGGACCUCGCCCGAUUGAAUGAGCCGAUGUCGGAUUAGCUAGUUGGCGGGGUAACGGCCCACCAAGGCGACGAUCCGUAGCUGGUCUGAGAGGAUGAUCAGCCACACUGGAACUGAGACACGGUCCAGACUCCUACGGGAGGCAGCAGUGGGGAAUAUUGGACAAUGGGCGCAAGCCUGAUCCAGCCAUACCGCGUGGGUGAAGAAGGCCUUCGGGUUGUAAAGCCCUUUUGUUGGGAAAGAAAAGCAGCAGGUUAAUACCCCGCUGUUCUGACGGUACCCAAAGAAUAAGCACCGGCUAACUUCGUG
rnacentral:rRNA from 1 species